rnacentral:rRNA from 1 species
CUAGACUCCUACGGGAGGCAGCAGUGGGGGAUAUUGCACAAUGGGGGAAACCCUGAUGCAGCGACGCCGCGUGAGUGAAGAAGUAUUUCGGUAUGUAAAGCUCUAUCAGCAGGGAAGAAAAUGACGGUACCUGACUAAGAAGCCCCGGCUAACUACGUGCCAGCAGCCGCGGUAAUACGUAGGGGGCAAGCGUUAUCCGGAUUUACUGGGUGUAAAGGGAGCGUAGACGGCAAUGCAAGCCAGAUGUGAAAGACCGGGGCGCAACCCCGGGACUGCAUUUGGAACUGUGUAGCAGGAGUGUCGGAGAGGCAGGCGGAAUUCCUAGUGUAGCGGUGAAAUGCGUAGAUAUUAGGAGGAACACCAGUGGCGAAGGCGGCCUGCUGGACGAUGACUGACGUUGAGGCUCGAAAGCGUGGGGAGCAAACAGGAUUAGAUACCCCUGUAUCU